rnacentral:rRNA from 1 species
UGCAGUCGAACGGUGAAGCCCUUCGGGGUGGAUCAGUGGCGAACGGGUGAGUAACACGUGGGCAAUCUGCCCUGCACUCUGGGACAAGCCCUGGAAACGGGGUCUAAUACCGGAUACGACCUUCCUCCGCAUGGGGGUUGGUGGAAAGCUCCGGCGGUGCAGGAUGAGCCCGCGGCCUAUCAGCUUGUUGGUGGGGUAAUGGCCUACCAAGGCGACGACGGGUAGCCGGCCUGAGAGGGCGACCGGCCACACUGGGACUGAGACACGGCCCAGACUCCUACGGGAGGCAGCAGUGGGGAAUAUUGCACAAUGGGCGAAAGCCUGAUGCAGCGACGCCGCGUGAGGGAUGACGGCCUUCGGGUUGUAAACCUCUUUCAGCAGGGAAGAAGCGCAAGUGACGGUACCUGCAGAAGAAGCACCGGCUAACUACGUGCCAGCAGCCGCGGUAAUACGUAGGGUGCGAGCGUUGUCCGGAAUUAUUGGGCGUAAAGAGCUCGUAGGCGGCCUGUCGCGUCGGAUGUGAAAGCCCGGGGCUUAACCCCGGGUCUGCAUUCGAUACGGGCAGGCUAGAGUGUGGUAGGGGAGAUCGGAAUUCCUGGUGUAGCGGUGAAAUGCGCAGAUAUCA